rnacentral:SRP_RNA from 1 species
GGCAGGUGCAGUGGCACGCACCUGUAGUCACUGCUAUUUGGGAGGCUGAGACUGGAUGAUGGCUUGAGACCAGGAGUUCUGGGCUGUAGUUAUGCCAGUCAGGUGUCCACACUAAGCUCAGCAUCAAUAUGGUAACCUCCCAGGAGUGGGAGCCAACGGGUUGCCUAAGGAGGGGUGAACUGGCCCAGGUAAGAAACAGAAACAGAGGGGUCAAAACUCCUGUGCUGAUCAGUAGUGGGAUUAUGCCUGUGGAUAGCCACUGCACUUCAGCUUGGACAACAUAGGAAGACCCUUUCUCU